rnacentral:lncRNA from 1 species
CGAGAUCCGGAAGUGGCGCUCCGGGGAGAAGGUGGCUGCGGCUGCUGGGGCCGCUGCGCCGGCGGCGGUUCCCGAUGUGGAGGUCCGUCUUGGGUGGGGAGGCACCCAGGUCGCUGGUUCGAUGCAGAGGAAGAAACCACACCUAGCACGUAAAGCCCUGAAAAAAUAGAGGUGUACAGUAGAGUUUUCCAGAGGCUACAUGACAUGCAGUAUCACAACGGAAGCAAAUAUAAGAACCCACCUGUCUCCUGUUAAAAUGCAAAAUGUAAAACAAUACCACUUUGCUAACUGUUUUUGUUUGGGGAAAUAUAGUUCAUAAAAAUAUUUAUGUUAACAUGUAAUUUAGGUUAAAAUAAAUUAAUAAAUAUUUGUAAAUUG